UUGUGUGUCAAAUCAAUGGAUUUUCAUCUAAAAAUCUUCCUUUUCUUCAUCUGCAUACCUUUGGUUAAUUCAGUAGUGUGUCAUGCCACAGAUUUCUACCCAUCAGCAGUGAAUAUCACCUGGUUAAGAAAUGGAGAAGAGCACGAUGAGGAUGUGGAGCUUGGAGAGCUACUACCAAAUGAAGAUGGGUCCUUCCAGAAGACUGUUUCCCUCCGUGUUACUCCAGAUGAAUGGGAGAAGCACCAGUAUGUUUGUGUGGUGGAGCACGAGACAGGGACUAUACUGAGGAAUCUGACUGAGGACGAGAUCAAGAGUAACUACGGACCUACAAAAAAAUACUUCACAAUACUUGUGGGUUUGACAGACGUGUUCACUGUCAUCCUCGUAGUCCUCAUAGUCCUGUUUCGUUAG